GAGUAGCUGGGACUACAGGCGCCCGCGACUACGCCCGGCUAAUUUUUUGUAUUUUUAGUAGAGACGGGGUUUCACCGUGUUAGCCAGGAUGGUCUUCGUCUCCUGACCUCGUGAUCCGCCCGCCUCGGUCCCCUAAAGUGCUGGGAUUACAGGCAUACACUCUUAAGUAACCUGGUGGGGACCCAUCAAACUACAAAGGGUUAUAGCUACUCUUACAGAAGACAUAAGAAGAUAUAUACGCAGAGAAGACAUCAUAAGACCUGAAGAUGAAAAACUUCUGAUCACAGAAGAAAGAUAUACAACAGCCUUGAAGCAUUCUGAGAACCCAGUGAAGGCAAUAAUGUCUCUUCCCAGAGAAAUUCACAGGUAUCCCACUUCUAAGAUGCCUGAUCUGAAGGACAGUAAAACAACUGACCUUUGCCAGCAUGUAAAACACAUGGUUUAACUAGUCCUCCAGGAACAACACUGAGCAAUCCUGACCUGGGACUACUUUACUCGGCCAUCUCCUACUUGAGAUGCUCCUUGUCUCUCUGUUCAAGGACACCUUUUCUGAGCCUUUCUUGAACAAGAGUGGAGGACCGAUAGGGCGAUUAAACUGUCCUUGACACAACUUUAGGUUGGUUUGCCUAAACUACUAGGUUCUCAAUCUAUAUGAACCUCCUCCAGCAUUCUAAUUUGUUUGCUCUGUCUUAGACCCAGAAUCCCACCCCAUGUGCCUAACCAUAGACCAAUCUUCCUGCCUUAACUUCUCUGCUACCAAUUUUGAUGUAGCCCAGUAAGUUUCAGCAUCAUCCCUCACCACCCCACAGUCCCUCACCCUGCCCCCACCCCCACCACACACACACAUACCAGCUCUUAGCAUCAAAUCCCCUUCCAUUUUCCAUAAGCAUCUCUUCCCAGGUCUCUGCAUAUAAAAGCUAUGUUUGCUCACCCCAUGCCUGAGACUUUCCUGGCUUAGAUCUUGAGCAUCUUUCUAUUAUAAGAUUCUCCCUUAGUAAUGAUUUCCUCACUUAACUUCAGAUUUGUACAUUUUUUUUUCAUUGACAGUGCAAAAGAUACCAUUUAGGAUUUGAUUUUCAGAAGGUAAAAUAUAAAACAUUGUCAGGAAAUUCGAAUACUUAAUUAAGUAGGAUAAUGGAUUACUGAGAAAUAGUACUUGGUUAUCUAUUUAAUCAAAUGAUGUAAAAUAAUUUUAGAGUAGAUAUAGGAGGUAACAUAAUUGCAAAGAACUUCAUCUCUUUUAUAUGAAGACUGUUCUCUUAAAUAAUCAAGGACUCGAAAAAGUCAGCACAAAGCAUGGAAAAUUAUUCUGAUGAGAUUCUGAAUGUUUAUCUUCUAAGAAGAUUACUCAGAAGGUAAAGAAAAAUAUUUUACAAGCUCUUACUAAGAGAAUACACUAAUCCAAAAAAAUUAUUUUAAUAGAGAAUAAAACAAAUUCUAGUUUUGCA
ensembl:lncRNA LINC00861 long intergenic non-protein coding RNA 861